rnacentral:rRNA from 1 species
UACGAAGGGGGCUAGCGUUGUUCGGAAUUACUGGGCGUAAAGCGCAUGUAGGCGGCGAUUCAAGUCGGGGGUGAAAUCCCAGGGCUCAACCCUGGAACUGCCUUCGAUACUGUCUUGCUAGAGUGUGGAAGAGGUAAGUGGAACUGCAAGUGUAGAGGUGAAAUUCGUAGAUAUUUGCAAGAACACCAGUGGCGAAGGCGGCUUACUGGUCCAUUACUGACGCUGAGAUGCGAAAGCGUGGGGAGCAAACAGGG